rnacentral:tRNA from 1 species
GCUGGUGUUGCUCAGUGACAAAGCACUUGUCUAGCAUGCAUGAGGCACUGGGUUCAAUCUCCAGCACUCGCG